rnacentral:tRNA from 1 species
CCGCCCAUAGCUCAGCCGGUAGAGCGGCAGCCUUUUAAGCUGAUGGUCCCAGGUUCGAUCCCUGGUGGGCGGACCA